rnacentral:rRNA from 1 species
CAGCAGUAGCCGCGGGAAUACAGAGGAUGCGAGCGUUAAUCGGAAUUACUGGGCGUAAAGCGUGCGCAGGCGGUUGUGUAAGACGGGUGUGAAAUCCCCGGGCUUAACCUGGGAACUGCGCUUGUGACUGCACAGCUAGAGUAUGGCAGAGGGGGGUGGAAUUCCAUGUGUAGCAGUGAAAUGCGUAGAGAUGUGGAGGAACACCGAUGGCGAAGGCAGCCCCCUGGGCCAAUACUGACGCUCAUGCACGAAAGCGUGGGGAGCAAACAGGAUUAGAUACCCCGGUAGUCCCUGUCUCUUAUAA